AAUUAUAGCACUUGCAAAUCGAUUUUCAUUUGGCCACACUGAAUUUAAUUUUUUCUUUUAAUCCCAUUUUAGCUAUAGUAAGUAGCAACCAACCAAUUAGCAUCUCAGCUACAGAAAAAGGAACUUCUGAUUUACAUACCACCACUACAUAUAUUUCAACAACAUUCAUCAAAGGGAGCGAGAGGACAUUAAGAUCACUAACAAAUGGCAACGUAUCACCUGAUGCAGCAGAAAGCUCCACUUCUAAUUUAGAUAAUACGAAGUCUUCUGAUUUAACCCAAGCCUCAACCUCUGUAACACCAGGGCGAGGGAGUAAUAUCUCCUCAACUGACUCUUCAAUAGAGGCUUUGCUUACACAGUCUUCCAAGAGCUCAAGUUAUUCGUCUUCACCAAAUGAUCUUGCAGCUAUUGGAAGUAGCUACCAACCGAUUAACAUCUCAACUACAGAAACAAGGACUUCUGAUGUGCAUACUUCCAGUUCCUAUAUGUCAAUGACAUUCACCGUAGCUUCAGAGAGGACCUUAACGUCUCUAACAAACAGCAGCACAUUGGCUGAUGCAGCAGAAAGCUCCACUUCUAAUUUAGGAAAUAUCAGGUCUUCGNACAUCGGCUGAUGCAGCAGAAAGCUCCACUUCUAACUUAGGAAAUAUCAGGUCUUCGGAUUUACCCCAGCCCUCAUCUGCUGUAGCACAGGUUGGAGGAAAUAAUAUCUCAUCUCNGGAUUUACCCCAGCCCUCAUCUGCUUUAGCACAAGCUGGAGGAAAUAAUAUCUCAUCUAGUGACUUCACGGAGCCUUCCACGGAGCUUUUGCUUACGCAUUCUUCCAAGAUCCCAAGUUAUUCGUCUUCCCCAAAUGAUCUUGCAGGUGAGUUUUGUGAUUCCUCAGCUGGUUAGUGCACAGUUCAAAAAAAUGGUAAAAGAGCCUCCUCCUCACCAAA
rnacentral:lncRNA from 1 species